GGAGUAUUUUACACAGAAAAAUUAAUAAUCAAAACUCUUUGACAAAAUGUAACCAUAUAACCUUGAGACGUCAUUAUUAAUUGAGUGGUCAUACCAAAAAUAAAGUUUUAAAAAUGAAUCAGGCAUUUCAUAUGAUUACAGUCACGGGAUCUGUAUUUAAACUGGUGUAGUAAGUUAUAAAACUGGGAGAACUUAUCUUUUCCUUAUAAAUGUUCUAUGUACCUUCUAAAAGCAUUUACUAAACUCACUGAACACUGAAUGCUAGCAAAAAAUAAUGAAUGUCAACAAAUGAUGAGUGGCAAACAGAUGAUUUAGGUUUAGGCGAACACAGGUGAUUUGGAAAAAUUCUCCACUCAGUCUCUGUCUUAAACUUAC